GGGAAACAGAUCGAGCUGCUCCCCGACGACCCGGCGACUUUCCGACGCGACUCCGCUGUCGUCAGGCCAGCUCCGGUUGGCGCACUAGCCCCGUCGUGGCCGCCUCCUUGUCGCCGUCCUCCCUAUGGUUGUUCAUUGACCAAUCGCCACCGGAUGAGAAAGAAUCGAGGGAGAGAAGGGCCGACUGUUCUUGGUUUCUCCGGCGAGUUUGCAGCGAUUUUCGACGUCUCCGGCCUCAGUUUGGCUUGAUUUCGGUAUCAUUCUUCAUCUCCUCUUCAUUUUCUACAAGUCUGUAUAAUUAGUUUUUGGAUUGGGUGAAGUUUUGAUGAAUUUGGUUUUGGGUUUUUCAUGUUCUUCAUCGUUCUUCAACCUUGGGACUGGUUGGGUGUUCCUUGACUCGAAUUCAAUCUCCUUGGCGUCUUUGGUGAAGCCUUGAAUCAAAUUGGAAGGGUUCUGGACCGAGUUGAUUAGUUGACAUCAAAUUGGUGGGUUUUGUUCCACCGAGCUCAUGGAGAAGGCUUCUGGGAAUAGUUUUCUCCAAGGGUCUCCAAUUAUCCGGUGAACGGAAGUGGAAAACUUGUGACUUGCAGAGUAUACGAGGGAAACCAUUGGAAUCCAGGUACUGUGCACUGAGACGGGAUAGUGGAGAAUGUGGUAGGGUGGGUUAUUCAGGUUUUUUUGAACCAUUUCUCAUUUUUCAUUGUAAAUUCUAUCUUUUUGUUUGUAGUCUUCAAAAGUUAGUUAAAGCUAGUUCCGUGUUUAGCUUUGUUGGUAUUCCUUUAUUCUAGUUCAUCAUUCUAGAAUAUCAGUUGUAUCAAGUUCUGGGGACGGACAUGUAUUUUGGGAAUAAUGAUUCACUCUAUUUUAAGCUUUUGCUGUGAUACUCGAAAAUUUCUUAUACAACUUGCUUUGCGUUUCUU